UGGGUUGUAGUUCAGUGGUAGAGCACUUGCCUUGCAUGCGUGAGGCACUGGGUUGGAUCCUCAGCACCACAU
rnacentral:tRNA from 1 species